GAUCUCAUAUAGCGCUUAGAAACACAGCGAAGAAGAAGAAGAAGGACACGUGAUUCUCGCGAAAGCGUUGGCCUGACAACCGCUGUAAUCUCUUCCUGGUGCUAACGCAAGCACUCAGAGGACACAAUGCCAGAAGUCAAAUCAGUUUUCAGAGAAGUUCUGCCUAAAACAGGCCAACUUUCCAUGGAAGAUGUCCCUACCAUGGUUCUGUGUAAGCCAAAGCUGCUCCCACUCAAAUCCGUCACCCUAGAGAAACUGGAGAAGAUGCAGAUGGAGGCUCAAGAGGCCGUCAAGCAGCAGGAACUGGCAAUGAAAGAGCAGUUGCAGUAGACGACAAAUGGAGGAUUUAUAACAGCAGGAAUGGUCAAAUUGGCAGAAUAUUCCUCCAGAUAGAAGGCACACACUGGUAGAAUUAGUAUUUACAUUACAUGGAAAGUUAGGUGCAAUGUUAUAGGUUUAUAGAGCAUUCAACUCUAUUUAAAGUCUUCACUCACUAGACAUUGUCAAAUAAUCUACUGCAUAUCAUCAGCUAAGGAUUACAUCUAUUGCUAGUUUUUCCCCAGACCUGCGUACUCCCCAUUUGUAUGACAGCAUCUGUAAGUUGGCAUUAAUGCUUGCAAGGUAAUUGUCAGUUAACGACUUCCUUGUUGAACUAAUGUAGAGCAGAACAAUUACUGUGUCAGAUCAAAAACUGAAGUUGCAAUAUGUAGUUAGUAAUCUUGUGUUUAUAUUUAUUGUGACAUUCACAAAAACAGUCUUUUUUUUUUUUUUUUUUUUAAUAGUGAUUUAAUGAACAAACAAGGUUCAAUACUGGUACAUUUCACACACCAGUAUUGCCCAGAUAUACAAAAAUAAACACUCUAAACACUA